rnacentral:tRNA from 1 species
GCACCUGUAGCUCAGUUGGAUAGAGUGUUGGCCUCCGAAGCCAAAGGUCGUGGGUUCAAUUCCCGCCAGGUGCGCCA